AGUGAACGCUGGCGGUAGGCCUAACACAUGCAAGUCGAACGGCAGCACCGUAAGAGCUUUCUCUUACGGGUGGCGAGUGGCGGACGGGUGAGGAAUACAUCGGAAUCUACUUUUUCGUGGGGGAUAACGUAGUGAAACUUACUCUAAUACCGCAUACGACCUACGGGUGAAAGCAGGGGAUCUUCGGACCUUGCGCGAUUGAAUGAGCCGAUGUCGGCUUAGCUAGUUGGCGGGGUAAAGGCCCACCAAGGCGACGAUCCGUAGCUGGUCUGAGAGGGUGAUCAGCCACACUGGAACUGAGACACGGUCCAGACUCCUACGGGAGGCAGCAGUGGGGAAUAUUGGGCAAUGGGCGGAAGCCUGAUCCAGGCAUACCGCGUGGGUGAAGAAGGCCUUCGGGUUGUAAAGCACUUUUGUUGGGAAAGAAAAGCAGCAGGUUAAUACCCAGCUGUUCUGACGGUACCCAAAGAAGAAGCACCGGCUAACUUCGUG
rnacentral:rRNA from 1 species